CCGUUACCGGAAAAGUCUCCGAAUUGGACCGAGGUUUUGGCUAGCCCCCCAUUGUCAGACGUCCCGAGCGCGUUCCCGAAGUCGGAAUCGGCAAAGGUGAGCCGGGACAACCUUCUUCCUCUGCCCAGCCGCCACAGUGAUUGUCGUCAAGUCUGCCGCAGGAGGAUAUUUUAUUCUGGGUUAACCUGCUUUUAUACUUCGCAGGUUGUUUAUCGAUAUUUGUGUAAUUUUAUUUACUCCUAGAAUUUCCGCAUGUGUUAGCAGUAAUUAUUUGAAUUUGGUCUGUAAUAUUAUUAUUAUGUCGGACCUGUAAACUUAAUAUUUUAAGUCUGUUUUGAUGGAUUGGAUGAGGGAGCUGAGCUCCCAUUUAUUAUUA